UGCAAGGGUUGUAUAGCCAGCUGAGGUCGUUAAAAACUCUCUUUCUUUUGUUGUUGCAGAUAGAUCUUGACCUGAUAAGCAAUUCUACCACAUGUCAGAUUUGCUCUAAAUGCUUUGGUUUUUGAGUGAUAAGCCAAAAACUGCAUUUUACCCCUAUGUUCUAUUUUUAGCCAUGGCGGCCAUCUUGAUUGGUUGGCCGGGUCACCGGACACAAUUUUUAAACUAGAUACCCCAAUGAUGAUUGUGGCCAAGUUUGGUUUAAUUUGUCCAGUAGUUUCAGAGGAGAAGAUUUUUGUAAAAGAUAACUAAGAUUUACGAAAAAUGGUUAAAAAUUGACUAUAAAGGGCAAUAACUCCUAAAGGGGUCAACAGACCAUUUUGGUCAUGGUUGACUUUUGUAGAUCUUACUUAGCUGAACAUUUUUGCUGUUUACAGUUUAUCUCUAUCUAUAAUAAUAUUCAAGAUAAUAAUCAAAAACAGCAAAAUUUCCUUAAAAUUACCAAUUCAGGGGCAGCAACCUAUCAACGAGUUGUCCGAUUCAUCUCAAAAUUUCAGGGCAGAUAGAUCUUGACCUGAUAAACAAUUUUACUACAUGUCAGAU
rnacentral:lncRNA from 1 species